UAGUGGCGAACGGGUGAGUAACACGUGGGCAAUCUGCCCUUCACUCUGGGACAAGCCCUGGAAACGGGGUCUAAUACCGGAUAACACUCCCACUCGCAUGGGUGGGGGUUAAAAGCUCCGGCGGUGAAGGAUGAGCCCGCGGCCUAUCAGCUUGUUGGUGAGGUAACGGCUCACCAAGGCGACGACGGGUAGCCGGCCUGAGAGGGCGACCGGCCACACUGGGACUGAGACACGGCCCAGACUCCUACGGGAGGCAGCAGUGGGGAAUAUUGCACAAUGGGCGAAAGCCUGAUGCAGCGACGCCGCGUGAGGGAUGACGGCCUUCGGGUUGUAAACCUCUUUCAGCAGGGAAGAAGCGAAAGUGACGGUACCUGCAGAAGAAGCGCCGGCUAACUACGUGCCAGCAGCCGCGGUAAUACGUAGGGCGCAAGCGUUGUCCGGAAUUAUUGGGCGUAAAGAGCUCGUAGGCGGCUUGUCACGUCGGGUGUGAAAGCCCGGGGCUUAACCCCGGGUCUGCAUUCGAUACGGGCUAGCUAGAGUGUGGUAGGGGGAGAUCGGAAUUCCU
rnacentral:rRNA from 1 species